rnacentral:lncRNA from 1 species
AAAGUGUUCAUUACAUAUAAUAAUAUUUCAGUCAAAUUAUACAUAUUUUAUGACUUUCCUGAUAGUUUUUCUACGAGAUCUCGACAGUUCAGUCAUUCCAUCUUUUAUUUCUACUGUUUUCAUGACUUGAUAAAAUAACUACAUGACAUAUUCAGAUAUCUAAUUCCUGUAUUAAAAAAAAAUCACUUGAGCUAGUGAAACCAAAACCAAUUUAAGUAGAAGUAGCCUGUGGCAUUUGCAUGAAGAAUCAAUGUGCUUCUUGCUCUGUAGUUAAAUCUAUAAAGCCGAGCUCUUGUUUUACAUCAGCCCAGUGUACUUUAUUUGUUCUGAGUCUAAUAACAAUGUACGUUGUGCAACUGCAGUUCUAUCAAGGCAUCUGUACACACAAAGCUUGACAUUGGUAUAAUUGAGAAGUCAAAUGAAUGCCCCAUCACAAUAGAUUACAUUUUCCCCAUGUGACAUAGAUAAAACAGAGAUAAAAGGCAAAAGAAUGCCUUUGAAUUUUCACAAUAUACAUUUUGUUGAAUCUUGAUUAAAAUAUUUAUAGUAAAUGAGUUUUUUUCAGAUCAUGGGAUGAAGUACCAUUUCCAGAAAAAGUGAAGUAAGGCAAAAUGUCACAGGCAGGAUAAUAUUUUUAUUUGUGGUAUGUGUGUAUAUGUAUAGCUGUGAGUUGAAUUAUUUACUUUAAUUUUAUUUUCAAAUGAUAUUAUAAACUCCUUUAACUUUAACUCAGGAAUAUAUAAAGAUUAUCUGGUUAUAGAAAGAUUUUAGUUAAGAUUGCAAUUUUGUAGGCAAAUGAGAAAUGGAAGAAUCUUAUCUUUGGAAUUUUCCUUUGCUGUCAGUGUUUAGCCAUGAUCUUGGAGUGUGGCAUUGUUAUGCUGUUGAUAAUAUUGCAUUUUAAUAUUGCUCUGUCACAUUUUUGGUGCCAAGGUACUAACAUAAAAGACCAGGAAUGGUUGAACGCGGGGAGUAAGGAAAAAUACUCCUAAUUAUUUUAAUGAUUAAUAAAGAGGAAUGAUGUACCUACAUUUAGGAAUAAACCUUUUAGAAGAAAAAUAUACACAAUUGAAGGAAGUAGUUGUGUUGAUAUGUUGGUACAUAACUCUUGGCUACUGAAGUAAGAGAUUUUGGGACAGAUAACAAGAGUGACCCUGCUGGGAAAAUGUUCCUAUUGUAUGUAUCUUGGUUUUCAAGAACAUUAACAAAAGUUUAAGAAAAUACAGAUUUUAUGGGUUGCAAUAUGUGUACUUUUUUUCAGUUAUGUAACUGCAAUGGUUGGAGAACUCAAAAAGGGAAUUUAGUUCCUUCAUGAUCCUCUGAAUGGCUAUUGGCAGAAGGCCUGGAUACAAAACCAAAGAGAUGAACUAGGUGACUUACAAAGGUUUAGGCUUGGCCUCCAACUUGGGUUUUGUAACUGUGUGUCUUUUUUUUUUAAUGUUGUUUCUUUUUUUAUUAUUAGACAUUUUCUUUAUUUACAUUUAAAAUAUUAUUCCCUUUCCUAGUUUUCCCUCUGAAAAUUCCCUAUCCUCUCCUCCCUCCCCCUGCUCCCCAACCCACCCACUCCAGCUUCCUGGCCCUGGCAUUCCCCUAUUCUGGGGCAUAGAACCUUCUCAGGACCAAGGGCCUCCCUUCCCAUUGAUGACAGACUAGGCCAUCCUCAGCUACAUAUGCAGCUAGAGCCAUGAGUCUCUCUGUGUGUUUUCUUUGAUUGGUGGUUUAGUCCCAGGAAGCUCUGGGGUUACUGUUUAGUUCAUGUUGUUGUUCCUCUUAGGAGGAUGCAAACCCCUCCAGCUCCUUGGGUACUUUCUCUAGCUCCUUCAUUGGGGACCCUGUGCUCACUCUGAUGGAUGACAGAGCAUUUUGACAAGUUAUCUCACCCCAAGAACCUUUCUUCCAGUAGAAAAGAUGUUGCAAUUUCCAUUAGCUUUUUGGGAAGUUGUGAGACAUUAUUAUGAUUGUAGAUGAUUAAAUAUGAAGAAAUCUUCAAUCAUGGGCAGAUAUUUGUUGGAUAUUUUGUUUCAUUCUCCUUACAUUAUAAAUAGGACUGGUAAAAUGAUUCAGCUGCUGUACUACAUCACAAGUGUGAGGAAUGAUGUGUAUAUGCCCAGAAUACCACUAAACAUCACAGCAUCCCAGGGUGUCGUUCUGUGCAUUUGCGAUCCCCAGAAUGGUGAGAUGGGAAGUUCCAUGCACAGCUAGCCUACCUUGAAAAGGUCUAUGCCUGUAAGAAAUCUUGUUUCAAAGAGAAAGGCUCCGGAAAGCAUGUGAGGAAUGGUGUUUAAAGUUGCCCUCUGGUUUCCACACACAAGGUCCUAUGCAUGUAUGUGUUCACCCACCCCCAAAAAAAACAUUUCCAUCAAAGCUCCCACCCCAUCCAUAUCAUGAAGUGAAUUUAUCUGAGAAUAUUUUGGAAGUGAAGAUGUUAAAAUGGUUAUUGAAUAUGGAACUGC